AAAUUGAAGAGUUUGAUCAUGGCUCAGAUUGAACGCUGGCGGCAGGCCUAACACAUGCAAGUCGAACGGUAACAGGAAGAAGCUUGCUUCUUUGCUGGCGAGUGGCGGACGGGUGAGUAAUGUCUGGGAAACUGCCUGAUGGAGGGGGAUAACUACUGGAAACGGUAGCUAAUACCGCAUAACGUCGCAAGACCAAAGAGGGGGACCUUC
rnacentral:rRNA from 1 species